UACGGGGGGGGCAAGCGUUGUUCGGAAUUACUGGGCGUAAAGGGUUCGUAGGUGGCCAACUAAGUCAGACGUGAAAUCCCUCAGCUCAACUGGGGAACUGCGUCUGAUACUGGUUGGCUUGAGUGCAGGAGAGGAACGCGGAAUUCCAGGUGUAGCGGUGAAAUGCGUAGAGAUGUGGAGGAACACCAAUGGCGAAGGCAGCCUUCUGGGCCAACACUGACGCUCAUGCACGAAAGCGUGGGGAGCAAACAGG
rnacentral:rRNA from 1 species